rnacentral:rRNA from 1 species
GAUGAACGCUGGCGGCGUGCCUAAUACAUGCAAGUCGAGCGAACAGACGAGGAGCUUGCUCCUCUGACGUUAGCGGCGGACGGGUGAGUAACACGUGGAUAACCUACCUAUAAGACUGGGAUAACUUCGGGAAACCGGAGCUAAUACCGGAUAAUAUAUUGAACCGCUUGGUUCAAUAGUGAAAGACGGUUUUGCUGUCACUUAUAGAUGGAUCCGCGCCGCAUUAGCUAGUUGGUAAGGUAACGGCUUACCAAGGCAACGAUGCGUAGCCGACCUGAGAGGGGGAUCGGCCACACUGGAACGGAGACACGGUCCAGACUCCUACGGGAGGCAGCAGUAGGGAAUCUUCCGCAAUGGGCGAAAGCCUGACGGAGCAACGCCGCGUGAGUGAUGAAGGUCUUCGGAUCGUAAAACUCUGUUAUUAGGGAAGAACAAAUGUGUAAGUAACUAUGCACGUCUUGACGGUACCUAAUCAGAAAGCCACGGCUAACUACGUG